UACGUAGGGGGCGAGCGUUAUCCGGAAUUACUGGGCGUAAAGAGUGCGUAGGUGGCACGAUAAGCGCAGGGUUUAAGGCAAGCGGCCCAACCGAUGUAUGCCCUGCGAACUGUCGAGCUUGAGUGCAGGAGGGGAAAGUGGAAUUCCUGGUGUAGCGGUGAAAUGCGUAGAUAUCAGGAGGAACACCAGUGGCGAAGGCGACUUUCUGGACUGUAACUGACACUGAGGCACGAAAGCGUGGGUAGCAAAC
rnacentral:rRNA from 1 species